rnacentral:rRNA from 1 species
UGUAAGCGUAUACCAAAGUUGUUGCAGUUAAAACGCUCGUAGUCGGAAUUUGGCAGUUCCGGAUGUGUGCACGUCGUGUGCGCACUUCGCGGGGAUUGCUUUUGUGGUCUUGCGUAGGAUGAGGCACUUUUAUUAGUGAACGUCCUCACGCAACCACUUUUUACUGUGAGAAAAUCAGAGUGCUCAAAGCAGGCAUUUGCCGUGAAUGUAUUAGCAUGGAAUAAUAGAAUAGGACUUGGUUCUAUUUUGUUGGUUUGUUGGGACUGAGUAAUGAUUAAGAGGGACAGUUGGGGGCAUUUGUAUUUCGGUGCUAGAGGUGAAAUUCUUAGAUUACCGAAAGACAAACUGCUGCGAAAGCGUCUGCCAAGAAUGUUUUCAUUAA